rnacentral:rRNA from 1 species
UACGGGGGGGGCAAGCGUUGUUCGGAAUUACUGGGCGUAAAGGGCUCGUAGGCUGCCAACUAAGUCAGACGUGAAAUCCUCCGGCUCAACCGGAGAACUGCCUCGGAUACUGGGCGUCUCGAGUGUGGUAGGGGUAUGCGGAACUAUCGGUGGAGCGGUGAAAUGCGUUGAUAUCGAUAGGAACUCCGGUGGCGAAGGCGGCAUACUGGACCACCACUGACGCUGAUGCGCGAAAGCCAGGGGAGCGAACGGG